GAUGAACGCCGGCGGCGUGCCUAACACAUGCAAGUCGAGCGCGGUCCCUUUGGUGCUUGCACCAAAGACGACUGAGCGGCGGACGGGUGAGUAACGCGUGGGUAACCUGCCCUGUACAUAUGGAUAACAUGCUGAAAAGCAUACUAAUACAUAAUAACGUACAUUGAAGGCAUCUUCGAUGUAUCAAAGCGUUAGCGGUACAGGAUGGACCCGCGUCUGAUUAGCUAGUUGGUGGGGUAAAAGCCUACCAAGGCAACGAUGGGUAGGGGAACUGAGAGGUUUAUCCCCCACAUUGGUACUGAGACACGGACCAA
rnacentral:rRNA from 1 species